GCGGAAGUGGCGGAAUUGGCAGACGCACCAGCUUGAGGGGCUGGCGCUCGCAAGAGCGUGGGGGUUCGAGUCCCCCCUUCCGCACCA
rnacentral:tRNA from 2 species